UUAUCUGGUUGUCGACUCAACUCCACCUACCUGCCUUUUCUCCAUCACCCCUAAUUUCCCUAUUAUGGAAGAAUCUAUGUCGCUGUGUCUUAACUCAACUUAAUUUGUCUCUACAGUUUCCCUGGGCAGAGAACGCUUCAGAUUUAUUACUCUCUGGACAAAGCAGUUUCUUCUCAUCUCCAUCUUAAACCUAUAUUCCUUGAAUCUUGAGUCUGUGUCUCCUAGUUCUAGUCUCACCUACCUGUGGAAACAAAUUUCCAGUCUCUAUCUCAUCUAUUUCUUACAUAAUUUUAUGUUUCAUAAAGUUCCCCUCUCAUUCUUCAGAAUUUCAGCAGGUAUAGUCCCAGACAACUCAACUCCUUAUCUCUGUGCUCACGCCUCUUCAUCUGUCCCAUCCACAUAUCCUGUACCUCCCAUGCUUAACUUCCCCUUCAACCCUGCUAUGAGGUUAACCAUCUCAUCUCCAGAAUCAACCUGGUGAAUCUCCUCUGCAACACCUCCAAAGCCAGUACAUCUUUUCUUAAGUAAGGAGAUCAGAACUGUACAUAGUACUCUAGGUGAGGCCUCACCAGUACCUUCUAUGGAAAGAAGACACAAAAAAUGUGAAGAAUAUUGCCACUCACAGAGGAAGGUCUCACCAAAGUGUGGUUGGUCGAGAAUGAAACCGCAGGCUCUCAAGGAAGAGUGGUGUCAUCGCCGAUUAACUGGACUCUGAAAACUCACACUUGUUCCUCAAUCACAUUUCAGUUACUUGUGAACAAGCACAGUCUGGCCCCUGUCACCAAAAUGUUCUGAAGUGCUGAACAGAGAAAUGGCAUUUAUACAAAACUAUCUAGCAGUUACGGAUAUUGACCAUUUGGAAAACUGUGUAUGUUAUUUUUACGGCAGGAAGAUAGGAACAGCAGUAGGUCUCGUAUCUCCUUGGUAUUGUUCAUUGUUCUGUAAGGUAUUUAGAUCUGAAUUGCUUCAUGCCCCAAGUCCACCUUUGUACCAUAAACUUCGCUGCCAAAGAUCUAUUGAUUCAAGUCUUUGAUGUUUCAGUUGACAUAACAUCCCAACCCCUGCCCUCUUCCCAAUCCAACCCCUACAGGAGAGGGCUCCAAGUUUACACUCCCCACCGUACAAAUAAAUGCUUCCUCAUCUUUAUGCUAAUUGGCCAGCUCAUUUCAAGAUGAACACCAUGUUCAGGAGGAACUCAGUAGGUCAGGCAGCAUCUGUGGAGGGAAAUGGACAGAGGACAAGGAAGCAACACCUGCAGGGCACAGGGAGAAUGUGCAAGGUCUGUUGUCACCGAUUAACAGAACUCUAAAAACUCACACUCGUUCCUCAAUCACACUUUAUUUACUUGUAUCAUAAUUUAAAACAACCCCGACUACCUGCACAGGGUCUGUAUCCAGCCAUUUCCCUGCCUGUUGAUGUCCAAGUGCCUCUUAACCAUUGCUGCCACCACCUCCCCAGAUGGCAUGUUCCAUGUAACUGCCACAUUGUGUAAAAAAUGCCAUAUAAAUCUCCUUUAAAUAUUCCCUCCCUCACUUUAAAGCUAUACACUCCAUUUUUUCGAUAUUUCUACCCAGAGAAAGAUUCGUCCUCUCAGCCUCAGAAACUCCUGAGCCAAUAGUGCAACUUCUCCUAAUCCAGGCAGCAUCCUGAUGAACCUCUUCUGCAUUUUCUUCAAAGUCUGCAUAUCCUUCCUGUAAUGUGGCAACCAGAAUUGCACACAAUACUCCAAGUGUGGCCCAAUCAAAGUUUUAUACAGUUGCAAUAUAACUCAAUGACUUUUAUACUCAGUGUUCCAACUGCUGAAGCUAAGUGUGCAGAAUGUCUUCUUUACAAGCAUAGACCUGGAUCGAGAUCCCUCUGUCCAUCAGUGCUCCUAAGGGUCCUGGCAUUUAUUGUAAACCUUACUCCUACAUCUUACCUCUCAAGGUACAACACCACAUGUUUAUUUGUCUGGAAUAAACUCCACCUGCCAUUUCUCUGCCCACAUUACCAACUGGUUUAUAUCUUACUCUAUCCUUCGGCAAUCUUCCUCACUAUUCAUAUCUUCUUCACUUCUCCACAUUUCAAAGUACAUUUAUUAUCAAAGUGCAUAUACAGUCUACAACCCUGAGAUUCGUCCUCCCGCAGACACCCACAAAACAAAGAAACACCAUGGAACUUGUUUAAAGAAAACAUCAAACAACCAACGCGCAAAAAAAGAACAAAUCACAUAAAUAGCAAAGAGAGAGCAAAUAACAUACAGAAUAUUAAACAUCAACAGCAGAGUCCCUGAAUUGGUCCAGGAGCCACAGUCACUGAGUCUGUCAGUUUAGCGCUGUGUCGACAACUGCAGGCCUCAGCUGCAGAGCCAGUUCCGCACUAAAUCGCCUCGAUCAAAUCGCGCAACUGCAAAUUAGGAGUAACACUGGACAGCGAAUUUUUUCAAAAGUGUUGCUUCCUCAGAAAUAUUCUGUGUUUAUGAUAGACUGCUUGAAGCUGAACACAAAUAUAAUUUCAGACUAUUUAUAUCACAUAAGAAUUUGGAGAAACACAAUAUUAACUUUUAUUGAAUAUAAUGCAUUGAAUUGCAUAACGGUAUUGACACUUUAAAUACUUCAACUGAGCUAAAUAUAUUUUGUUGAUGAUUUUCAUUUGUACUCCGUGUCUGAGGCUUCUCACCUAAGUGUCCAACAAUAAUCAGCCAGUAUUGACAGAUUCCAGUUGUCCCGAUACAGUUUCUACAUGAACUCAAUGUCCUGGUGAAACAUUUCACUGUGCUCAUCACUGACAGCUCCAAGAGUUGCAGGGAAGAUGUCUACAUGGGAAUGCAGAAAAUGAAUCUUUAGUGACAUGUUGCACUUCAUGGUCUUGUAUGCUUGAAGCAUGUUGUCAACCAGCUGCACGUAGUUUGGUGCUCUGUAGUUGGCAAGAAAAUUCUCAACAACAUCCUUGAAUGCCUUCCAUGCGAUUUUCUCCGGUCCCACUAGAAGCUCUUCGAAUUGCCUGUCAUUGAUGUUUGGUUUGUGGACCAUCAAAAAAAUGCCUUCCUUAAUCUUGGCAUCAGUUAUUCUGAGAAACAUCUUCCUCAAAUAUCAAAAUCCUUCACCUUUCUUGUCCAUUGCUUUCACAAAAUUUUUCACAAUCCUCAGUUUUAUAUGAACAGUGGGCAAAAUUAUCUUUGUUGGUUUUAAAAGUGGCUUACAUGCCACACUUUUCUGCCCUGGAACCAACUGCUUAUGGAGUGGCCAAUUGUUUUUAAUGUAAAGAGAUUCUUUAGAAUGGAUGUCUGAUUCACAAAUAAACAACAGUACUCCUAGUAGCAGCACUAUUAUUUUCAGAUCACCGUAGAUGUUCCAGUUGUAGUUGUUGUGCUGUAUGUGUUUCGACAAGGCGCCCGGAUUUCAGUGGUUUUCUUUCAUGUGUACGGCUCAGCCAACGGGUAUCAAAAGGUGGACACUGCCGUUCUGUAGCAGCACAGCUUUCAGGCUUAACAUUGAAGAAUCAAUUAAAAAAAUGGCAUUGCUGUGGGCCAUACAGGCAACCCAAAGCAGUGAAAAGGCCAUUAACGUCAUAAAUUAUCAACCUGACCAAAGAGUUGUGUCAAAUCUUCUUGGCGACUAUGAAAGAUGGAGAUUUUUGUGCCUGGUGACAGCAGGUUCCAUCCUUGCAGCCUUGAACCCAGUAAUUCUGUUUUUGCCUUUGACAAACCCAAGUCUCUGACCAGGUCAUUUAACUCAGAUUUAGUUAUCAGAUGAGGCUCACUCAACAUAAAGGGUUCACAAUCUGUAUCAGUAUCAGUGUUGUUUUUCAUUGCUGCCUUGUGCAUUGUGGCAUUUUCGUCUGCCCCCUCUAGACUCCAUGUCUCUGGUGGCUCUGGUCCUGAAAGACUAUCGUCACGCGAUGCAGGUCUCGUGGCUGAAGGGAGAUUGGGGUAUUCAAUGGAUUUCAGAGAAACCAGACACACUGGUCAGGCAGAAGGAGCAGUCUGUCACAUGAUCCUUCUGCUCUCGCCAUAUCAUCAGGACAGCAAACGGCAUUGAUCUCCAAGUACCUCUGAGCUGAGCUCUAAGAUCAACCGUGCAUGUUGCGCAAAAAAUGUGAGGAGCCCAGGCUUUGUCUUGGUCGCCAAUUUUACACCCACAGUAGAGCUCAUGGCUUUCUUAAUAAGAGGAGUCAUGCUCCAUCGUUGAAAUUUAAGUGUAUACUCACCACAAAUAUAACAGAAAGUAUCGCAGCUGUUGCAACAUUGGCGAGACAUUUUGUUAUCACAAAUAAUACUGAAAAUACAAUUACAUUAUUAUAAUGUUCAUUUUUCAUAGCUUGUCACACCAGACAGUCAGCCAUUCUUGUCUGGCGUGUGGUGUCAGGAUUGGUCUCCUUUCGGAUUAACCGGGUCACGAUAUGAACAUUCCUGACUCGACCCUUGUUUUUUUUUUACGAGGCCGAGUGGCUAGCUCGACGCUCAACCCGGCACAGAUGGAAAGCAUGCUCAGGGGGUGGCCCGACUUGGAUUUGAACUCAGGAGCCUUCACUCCAGACUCCAGCGCUGAUGCUGAUUUGAGGAUUGUGCUGAGGGCAGCCCGCAAGUGUCGCCACGCCUCCGGCACCAACACAACAUGCCCACAACUCACUAACCCCAACCCGUACAUCUUUGGAACGUGGGAGGAAACCAUGGCUCCUGGUGGAGAAACACGAUACUGUCUGACCUGCUGAGUUCCUCCAGUAUUUUGUGUGUUACUCUGGAUUUCCAGCAUCUGCAGAAUCUCUUGUGCUUACAAUAUUCUAUUAAUGCUUGUUACAUAUUGCUCACAUUUCAGUGAGAAGUGCAACCUCUACGAUGAGACCAGGAGAACCAAUUCCAAAUUCUCCAUUAGGUCAUCAAAAUUGGUACUGCAGUUUGCAUUGUGUGCUCUCUGGGAAGGCAGGAGGAAGGAUAUGAAUCCUUUUCACUUGAUCUAAUUACCCAGCGAAUACGGAAUCAGAAUGAUGGGCAUUGGUAUUUUUACUUUUUAAUUUUGUUUAUUUUAUUUGAAGAUACAACCCAGCAAGCUAUCAUAAUCGUGGGACAAGUUACAACGACCAUUUAACCUACUAACUAGUACAUCUUUGGACUGUGGGAGGAAACCCGUAUACUCACAGGAAGAAACAGACAAGCUUCUUCCAGAGGACGCUGGAAUUGAACACCGAUGCUCCAAACUGUAAUCGUGUAAUGCUAACCACUUCACUACUGUGGCAUGAUAGGGUGAAUGCACACAAUGGAAAUAGAAUCAAUAGCUAGAGAGCACAGGCGUAAGGUGAGAGGUGAAAGAUUUAAAAGGCACCUGACAGGCAACUUCUUCACCAAGAUAAUGGUGCAUAAAUGGAAUGAGCUGCCAGAGGAAGUGUUUGGCGCAGGUACAAUAACAUCUAAAAGACAUUUGGACAGGUACAUGGUCAGUGGUUUGAUAGAUACACCUGGAGGAAAUCUGUUCAAGAGGGAGCUGUACCUCAUGAGAACAACCUCCGCUGUGUCACAGAGAACAAGCAGCACCUGUGAGAGGAGAGACUGAAAAACGAAAAGACCCAAUCACGAACCACAGCCACCACUUACUCUUGCCCACACAGCACCAGAACACAUGGAUCCCGGAUCGGCCUCUAGAGCCAACAGGCAACUCCUUAGGAGAACAGCAUACCCGACUCGAGUGAUCACACUGCUAGUACUAUGCUACUAUUGGAAAGAUUUCCAGAGUUAUGGACCAAACACAUGCAAUUUGACUGGCUUAGAUGGUCACCUUGGUCAGAAUGGAAAAGUUGGGCUGAAGAGUCUGUUUCUGUGCUAUAUGACUCUAUGACGACAAUAUAUUUGUGAAGCAAAAUAACAAAAACAACCGCUGGAGGAGGUCAGUGGUUUAGGCGGAUCUUUGGAGGCAAAGGGACAGUCAACCUUUCGGUCAACAUCCUCCAUCAGGAGAAGAGAAUUGUGCUCAGCUGUGGUCAAGAAGUUAAUAACACUAAGCUUACACAUUAAGAAUGCCUUCUUGAACAAAGAACCAAGGGUCUGAAGCCCAAAGGGCAAGAAACUAGAGUCAGCAGUCGCAUUUUGUGAAUGGGAAACAGAGUUACAGUAAUUGGAAAACAAUGCAUAUUCCAUGCCAUUAGCAGAACUACAUUUUAAUUUCCCUCACACACAAAAUAUUGCCUUUACAACUUGAUGCAAAUGCUCUGUGAAAGGCUCUAAGCUUUCAUAUUCUUGCAGUGUUAAAUGAAUUGCUAAAUGCAUACAGACAAUAACAUUGCGCUUUUACAUUCCAUAAAUUGGAUCACAGAAUUUUAAUACUUUGCAAAUCAAUAAAAUCUGGAAGGUGAUCUCUCAUCCAGCACUGUUCUGCGAUAUGAGCCAUUUUCAAUAUAGCUGCAGGCAAACUCAAACCAAACCCAACACAGGGUAAAUGUUGGAACAAAAUGUGAUAGAUUUAGUUUGAGACAAAAGGGGGAGAUAUUUGGAUAGAUGGGAUUUCACUCACCUACUUAUAUCAAAGUUCAAAGUAAAUUGAUUAUCAAACUACAUAAAUGUCACCAUAUACAACCCAGAGAUUCAUUUUUUGCAGGCAUUCACAGUAAGUACAAAGAAACACAAAUGAACCAAUGAAAGAUUGCACCUUCAGGAUGGGCAACAACCAAUGCACAUCAGACAACAAACUGUGAAAAUACUAAAACAAAAAAUACAAAAUAAUAAUCAUAAUAAUAAAUAAGCAAUAUAUAAUGAGAACAUGAGAUGAAGAGUCCUUGAAAAUGAAUCCAUAGGUUGUGGGAAUGGUUCAGUUGGGGUGAGUGAAGCUACAUGCUUUUUUCAAGAACCUGAUGGUUGAGGGGUAUUAACUGUUCCUGAAACUGCCAGUGUGGGUCCUGAAGCUCCUGUACCUGCUUCCUGAUGGAAUAUGGCACAAGACAAGGCCAUUUGUUCCAUUGGCUCUUUGUUGGCUCUGAAUCCCACUCCCUCUCUCUUAUUUCUCUGCAGCCCUACAAUUCACUCAGUCUCUCUCACAGGCACACAGACUCCCUGUUAUGGUUCUUCUGCCACCUACUUACAGUAGCCAAAGAACCAACCAAUAUGUUUUAUUUUGUUGUUUCGUAUGGCAGGUGUUUUUCUCUUCAUACUUCUAAUUGGUUUUUGUCAUGACGGUGUCGUCUGGGAGGGGUAGAUGCAAGCCUGUCCGUUCGGGAGCCGGGUUUGGAUCGAUCUUCGUGUGGCAUCUUGUCCACAGCUGUUCCAACAUGGGUGGUCUUGAGGUGGCAUCGCCUGAUGCAAUCCUUGAAGCACGCAAGCCUCCACAUGACAUCAAAGUGUUGAUCCAGAUUGUGGAGGAUUAAAUUUUAUAAUGUGGGGGAACUGGGCCACGUGACACAGAAAUCAAUACAGAGGAGGCACAAACUGUAUCAGAGGUCGGGGUCAAACCUAGGGUUCCAUUAAGGAGAUUCUUAAAGGAACACAGAAUACAGGCAAACACUGUAUAUAUGAAAGGCAUAAGUGUCAGUAGUUCAAGUUCAAGUUUAAUUGUCAUUCAGCCAUACAUCAAUACCCAUGAGGACAGCCAAACAAAACAUUGUUACUCGGGCCAAGGUGCAAAACACUGUACCAAAAGUCACACAAACCACAACACACAUACAGCACACAUAAGAUAUCAGUAAAAUACAGUCACAAACAAAAAAAAUAGCCCAAGACCCUGAGUCCAUGAACAUUGCAGCAGUCUGCAGCUGAACACAUUACAGCUUGCCUUCUGCCAAGUGACCACUGGGGGCAGCACUGACUCCAGCUUGGACGCCGCACCAUUUUGCUCCCGGUACUCCGGUGAAGCGCACUGACUCCAACACCUCUCUCCUGGGUGGCUGUAAACAGGCAACACCAUAGCUUGAAGCUUUGUCAUCGCUAUGACAGAGGCCACGCGGCUGCCCACUGUCCACCUCUGCUAUCCGCCAAUAAAUCAGAGAAUCGGGCUUGCAGCAUUCCAUAUGAGCAACGUCCAACAGAGUCUUGCGAUCACAAGAAAAGCAACUAAGACGAUCACUCGCUGUUAGACUGCACACUGCCUCCGCUUCCUGUCUUCCCCCCCUUGUUCCUUCUCCUGUGCAAAGAACUGAUGCUCUUAUUUCACUAACAACAAACAUUGCAUUUAAAAUCGAUAGGGCACACACAUGCUGCAGACACAGCAAAGAAAUUAGGGUGCUCUGACUAGUAUGUGUAGGUAAAUAAACACUCUUGAUACCUUAGUGCAUCACUCAUCAUUCAGAGUGAUGACCUUUAGUCAGGGCAGUGCACAUGCAGAACUGUGUCUUUGUUUCAAUGUGCAAAGACCCUCUGAUCCUCUUGACUUUCAACAGCUCUGAUAAACCUUCCGAUUAUACUCUGAAUGCUAUAGGCAGCUCCACUCAUUUCCUGCACUUUAGGGAUAUGAUUACCUUUCCAUUUAUUUCCUAAUCAAACACAGUAAUGGAUGACUUCAAUAGAUAAUGAAACUAUAUUGUCCCUAAACAGAAUUCAUCUCUAAAAUGCAGGGAGUUGAAAAGUGUCCUAGCCCAUGUGUUUAAAAUGUGAAAUGGGUUCAAGAGGGUGCAGUCAGAGAACGUGAAUGGUAACACUUGUGGCCUGCUCCCCAACAUAUCCUUGGCUGUUAACACAAAUGAUGCAUUUCACUGUAUAUUUUGAUGUACAUGUGAUAAAUAAUUCUCAAUUUGAACCUAUUUUAUUUUCUUUAUUUAGAGAUACAGCACGUUACCAGGCUCUUGCAGCCCAACGAGCCCGUGCUACCCAAUUACAUCGAUGUGACCAAUUAACCUUCUAACCUGUACAUGUUUGGAGUGUGAGACAAAACCAGAGCACCCGGAAGAAACCCACACAGUCAUGGGGAGAGCAUAUAAACUUACAGGCAACGGUGGGCCAUGAAUCCGGGUCAUUGGCACUGUAAUAGUGUUGUGCUAACCACUACAUUACUGUGUUGGCCCCAGUGAUUUCCUUCAGGGGGAAAUCAGAUAGGGAAAAUCUUCAAAUUAAAAGUAGAUUCCUGGAAGCAAUUGUUCAUACCAAGUAAGCAACUUCUGGAUCUUUCAGUAGUUGCCAAAUCUAAUGAAGUUUACAUAUCAGAGGGAGGAGUGUUGAUUUAUUCAGGGUGAUGAAGGAUAUGCUGUGACAAUGUAUUGAGCUGCAGAUCAGACGUGAAUAGUGGAGCUGCAAGGAUCAUCUUUUUCUGAGGACUGCUCUCUAACCUGAUGCUACUAAUUAAUAUAAUUCAAUAUAAAUUUCUAAAUAUGUACCCGCAGAAGAAGACCUGUAACAAUUUACUGAACAAAGAGCUCCCUAGCUCUUUGCAACAUCGUGGUGAGCUUCCCUUGCACCCUUUCCUCUGUGUACUAUGGGGUGCUGACCAGAACUACACACAACACUCCAGCCAUAGCUAAGGUAAUAAUUUAUAAAGCUGAAUCAAAAUCUCCAUGUGCUUACAAUCUAUGCCCCAGCUAAUGAAGGCAAGCAUCCUAUAUGGUUUUUCACUACUCUAUCUAUAUGCCACCCUCAGAUAUUUUGACUUGUACACCGAAGUGCCUCAGUUCCUCAAUGCAAAGGGAUAAUACAAAAUUCCUCACGGAUGCCUUACCAUUCAUGAAUCAUAUCAUUCUCUAAUUUUACCUUCCCCUCAAAAUGCAUUAUCCCAUAUUUUUCAAGAUUAGAUUGCAUUUGCUACUUUCCUGUCCAAUUUGCCAAUUGGUGGCUAUCAUAGUUUAGGCUGAAGUGAUCCUCCUGACUAAAAACAACACUACUGAUUUUUGUGUUAUCUGCAGAAUUACUGUUCACACAUUAUAUGUUAACAUCUAAUUCAGUAAAGUGUACAACAAAUAGCAAGGUUCCCAGAACUAAUCACUGUGGUACAUCACUGGCCAAUCUUCCAAUCACAACUCUUCUUCUGUUUCCUAUCACCAAGCCAAUUUUGUAUCUAAUUUGCUGACUUGCCUUAAAUCCCACGGGCUCUAACCUUUUGGACCGACCUUCCAUGCCUUCCUACUGUUUCAACUCUGACUUUUCUCGAUACGAUGAAAGCCAUUGACCUGAAUGCUGAUAGAGAUGGCUGACUUGCUGAACAUUUCCAGCAUCUGCAGUAUACCGGUACAGUAUGAUACAAUCGAGUGUCAUGGUGCUCAUGAAAUAUUUAGCCUUGCAGUGAAAUACCUGUGUGCUCGAGAAAAAAGGCCAGAUUCUUCCCCACAUAAACCAACACCCAACAAUGUAUCAUAAGCUCCUCCUAUAAAUACCUUCUUUGUAAUUCUGCUCAUUUUUACCCUUGGCUGGGUCACUGGUACAAAAUUUAGAGAGCACAACCUUCCUGAUCAACACCUAAAAUGCUCAGCAGGUCAGGCCACAUCUAUGGAGGGGGAUAAGUAGUCGACAUUUCAGGCCGAGACUCUUCUUCACUUCCCGCUGGUACCUUCGAUAUGAGCUAAAUAGCCUCCUCCCUUAAUAUACAAUUUUUUUGAUUCAUCUAUGUACCAUGAGCAUUGCAUUUGUAUGUGAAAUCGGUGUGUCCACUCCAGCCUUGGAUACUAUUUUAGUAAAGGGAAGAGGUGCUUACCAAAGUGAAUCUCAGAACAGGAGAAAUAGGAGCAGGAGUUAGCUAUGUGGCUCCUCCAGCCUGUUGUGCCACUCAAUAAGACUCAGGCUGGGUCCUCUAUCUCUUGCCAUUACAAUGACAUUUAAAAAUUUAUCGAUCUUAUUGCUGGAUAUACUUAAUGAGUGCACAUCCAUUGUGCUCACAACCCUCCAUCAAGAGGUUCCUAAAGGACUGAUCCUCGUCUUGUUUUUAGUUCUGGAAAAGGCCAUUAGUAUUUAUCUUGUUAUUGCCUCUCAGGAUCUCAAUACCACUGACAUACAUACUACAUAUACCCGCUUCUAUUUUCUA